rnacentral:rRNA from 1 species
GGAGGGUGCAAGCGUUAAUCGGAAUUACUGGGCGUAAAGCGUGCGUAGGCGGUUGGUUAAGUCUGCUGUGAAAGCCCCGGGCUCAACCUGGGAAUGGCAGUGGAUACUGGCUAGCUAGAGUGUGAUAGAGGAUGGUGGAAUUCCCGGUGUAGCGGUGAAAUGCGUAGAGAUCGGGAGGAACAUCAGUGGCGAAGGCGGCCAUCUGGAUCAACACUGACGCUGAGGCACGAAAGCGUGGGGAGCAAACAGGAUUAGAUACCCUGGUAGUCCACGCCCUAAACGAUGCGAACUGGAUGUUGGUCUCAACUCGGAGAUCAGUGUCGAAGCUAACGCGUUAAGUUCGCCGCCUGGGGAGUACGGUCGCAAGACUGAA